rnacentral:tRNA from 1 species
AACUAGGGAGCUUGUAAACAGCACUUGACUUUUAAUCAAGAGAUAAUAUCCUCAUUCCUAGUCA